AAUAAAUUAUUUUUUAUUAAACUUACACGUGAGUUCAUUAACAAUCACAAAAUUAAUUUGUGUAGCUCAUUGAUUUCAUAACGAAUUUUUUUUAAUUUUUUUAUUAAAAGUUAAUAAUAUUUGGAAUUAUUAAAUAAAAAAGGCAAAGAAAUAGAAUCACACGUUUUUUACAUAAAGUUUGUUACAAUUUCAUCUUCAAUAGGUAACUCAUAUUCAUUGUGUAUUAUUUAACAGUUUCUCAUUUUUUACAGAAAAAUGCCACGUCUUCGUGAAAGAGCAAGAAAUACUGGUCGACGUACUCGAAACGCGCAAUUGGUUCAUGAUCGUCGAUUUAUUAUAUCAGUCGAAGAACAAUCGGCGGAUAUACAAAUUUAAAAAAUCAAGUUGUACACGUGCAAAUGAAAAUUCAGGGCAACGUACUUAACGUCUUCGUGCUAAUACCUUAAGACAACGAGGGACACGUCAACAAGCAACCAACGCACAUAUUUAAUCGAGCAAUGGGACGAGCAUCACUUAAUCGUCUCGCGUUUGAAUAUGAUCCUGAAAUAAACUAUUCGUCACAUCCAUUAACCACGAUUGGUAGUAUGGACAAAGAGUGUCAACUUUGUCAUGCUUUCAAGUACAAAGGUAGAACCACUUCUCAAUCGAAAUUGUUUUUGCAAAAAAUUCGUAAAUUCAAAACAUGCAUCCAGAUGACGUUAUUUGGAGCAACCAAAAUUCAUUGCUUCCAAUGCCUGAUGCCGAUCUAAAUUUUUUACGUAUUUAUUUUAUGGGAAAUGAGGAGCAACAAUCACAUACACGCUGCGCUUACAACCAUAUAGAGCAGAUGGAGGAACGAGAAAUUGUGGACAUUUUGAAAACGUUUUUGAAAACACAUAACCAAUUGGUAAAAUUGUUCAAGACGUCAUUGUCGUUAAAACAGACAAUGAAGUUGCAGUUGUUAUGGCUGAUGACUCAUAUGAACUCGAGACAUACGUCGUACAACGCAGAGAUAAUACUCGUACAAUGCAAAUUAUUCAAAACAACAAUCGUUCUUACGAUGCUUUGCAGUGUCCGUUGAUAUUUUGGGAAGGAGAAGAUGGAUAUCAUUUAAAUAUUAAAAAAAGGAAUCCAACUACGGUUAAUGCUAUAAAAUUCUACGCAUAUCGGUUGAUGAUGAUUCGUGCUAAUGAAGACAACAACAUUAUCGAAUGCAGACAACUAUUUCAUCACUACAUUGAGGAAAUGUAUGUAAAAAUCGAAUGUGAGAGAUAAUUUAUAUCUUUAUAUAUAUAAAUCUUCUGACCGUGUGUUUGCAUUUGAACUGCUCCUAAACGGAUGGACCGAUUUUGAUGAAAUUUUGUGUGUAUGUUCAAGGAGAUUCGAGAAUGGUUUAGAUUUACAAUUUGGUCCACUGGAAAAUGUCUUUAAAUUAUUUUUUCAUUUUUAAUCAAUUGUUAAUUUUGGAAUGUUUGACCGAUAGAUGGCGCUACCAUCGCAGUAUCCAAUA